rnacentral:ncRNA from 1 species
AAAAAGUUUGAUUUUGGCUUUAUAAUUUAUUUUAUAAUUAUUUUGCAUGUAAAUUUUUGUGUGUAUUUUUUUUAUUUUAAAUAAAUAAUUAAUUUAAUAUAUUUGCAGCAUUUAAUUUUAAUAAUUAAGGAAAUUUAGAAUUAUUAAUUAUAUUAAUAUAGACAAAAUUUGUGCCAGCAGUUGCGGUUAAACAGGUUAUGUAAAUAAAUUUUAUUAAUUUAUAAUAUGUAUGAAAAAAUAUUAAUAAUUAAUUAUAGAGUAAUUAGGUGAAAUUUUUAUUUUAUUUAUGUUAUUUAUUUGUGUAUAUUAUUUUAUGAAUUCUAUAUUUAAAACUAGGAUUAGAUACCCUAUUAUUAUAGAUUUAAAUUUAAAAUUUUAAGGAUUAAUAGUUAUGGUCUUAAAACUUAAAAAAAUUGGCGGUAUUUAAAACUAAUUAGGGGAAUUUGUUUUUUAAUCGAUAUGCCGCGUGAGAUCUUACUUUAUUUAAUUAAUUAGUUUAUUUCCGUUAUCAAAUAAUUUUUAUAGAAUUUAAAUUAUUUAAACAUUUUAUAGGAUAUUAUUUCAGGUCAAGAUGCAGUUUAUAGUAAAGUAAAAAUGAAUUACAAUAAAUUUAUAUUUAUAUGGAUAUUAAAUUGAAAUAUUUAAUUGAAAGUGGACUUAAUAGUAAAGUAAAAAAUUAUAUUUAUUUGAAUUUAGAAUUAAAUAUGUACAAAUCGCCCGUCGCUUUCAUUUUUAAAGUGAAAUAAGUCGUAACAAAGUAGGUGUAUUGGAAAAUGUACCUAGAAAGUUUU